rnacentral:rRNA from 1 species
AGAGCGAACGCUGGCGGCAGGCUUAACACAUGCAAGUCGAACGGAUCCUUCGGGAUUAGUGGCGGACGGGUGAGUAACACGUGGGAACGUGCCUUUUGGUUCGGAACAACUCAGGGAAACUUGAGCUAAUACCGGAUGUGCCCUUCGGGGGAAAGAUUUAUCGCCAUUAGAGCGGCCCGCGUCUGAUUAGCUAGUUGGUGAGGUAAAGGCCCACCAAGGCUACGAUCAGUAGCUGGUCUGAGAGGAUGACCAGCCACAUUGGGACUGAGACACGGCCCAAACUCCUACGGGAGGCAGCAGUGGGGAAUCUUGCGCAAUGGGCGAAAGCCUGACGCAGCCAUGCCGCGUGAAUGAUGAAGGUCUUAGGAUUGUAAAAUUCUUUCAGCGGGGAAGAUAAUGACUGUACCCGCAGAAGAAGCUCCGGCUAACUUCGCGCCAGCAGCCGC